AUCGAACGCUGGCGGCAGGCCUAACACAUGCAAGUCGAGCGGAUGAAGGGAGCUUGCUCCUGGAUUCAGCGGCGGACGGGUGAGUAAUGCCUAGGAAUCUGCCUGGUAGUGGGGGAUAACGUCCGGAAACGGGCGCUAAUACCGCAUACGUCCUGAGGGAGAAAGUGGGGGAUCUUCGGACCUCACGCUAUCAGAUGAGCCUAGGUCGGAUUAGCUAGUUGGUGGGGUAAAGGCCUACCAAGGCGACGAUCCGUAACUGGUCUGAGAGGAUGAUCAGUCACAAUGGAACUGAGACACGGUCCAGACUCCUACGGGAGGCAGCAGUGGGGAAUAUUGGACAAUGGGCGAAAGCCUGAUCCAGCCAUGCCGCGUGUGUGAAGAAGGUCUUCGGAUUGUAAAGCACUUUAAGUUGGGAGGAAGGGCAGUAAGUUAAUACCUUGCUGUUUUGACGUUACCAACAGAAUAAGCACCGGCUAACUUCGUG
rnacentral:rRNA from 1 species